CAGAAAAUAGUUUAGUUUAGAAUUCUGGCUUUGGGAGCCAGUGGUAGGAGUUAGAAUCUCUUUUUUCUGG
rnacentral:tRNA from 1 species